rnacentral:rRNA from 1 species
UACAGAGGGGGCAAGCGUUGUUCGGAAUUACUGGGCGUAAAGGGCGCGUAGGUGGCCUUCUAAGUUGAACGUGAAAUCCCUGGGCUCAACCCAGGAACUGCGUCCAAGACUGGGAGGCUUGAAUCCGGGAGAGGGAUGCGGAAUUCCAGGUGUAGCGGUGAAAUGCGUAGAUAUCAGAAGGAACAUCAGUGGCGAAGGCGGCUUCCUGGACCAAUACUGACGAUCAGGUGCGAAAGCGUGGGGAGCGAACAGG